UCCUGCUUUUUUUUUCACCCUCUCUCUCACUCUCUCUCACAGACUUUUUUUUCUCUCUCUCUCACUCUCUCUUACACACCCUGUACCUUUUCUUUUUUUAUUUUCUUCUCUCAACAUUUUUUUCUUUUUAUCUACACCAAGUAUAAAAUUUUAUCGCAUAAUUUUAACUUUAACAAGAUAAAACUAUCUAAUAUAAGGCUAGCAUUGAGGCCUAUCUAACACUAUUAAAUAAAAUAGAGUUGGGGUAAAAGCAUAUAGGAAUAUACUCCUGCGUCCUCCAGUGGGACCGCAAAAAAUAUAUCGUAACCGACUAAUCUCGAUAUUUUUUUAUUUGUAAAUUCUACCUUGAUGAUAAUAGAAAAACAUUAUUCAUCUUUUUUAAUACUGUAAUAAGCUUUAAGGAGGCAGGACUCGAUAGGGACGCUAAAGGGAGGCACGCCGAGGGAGAAUUCGUAAGGCGGGUACGCGCCGUGGCAAAGCGAGGGUCGUCGAGACGGUCGAGAAGCACGGUGUGGACUUGUGGGUUCCCUUGUCAGGAGCGAUGGGACACGAGGGCCGCACAGGUCGGAUGCGAAGCACGGAGGUGCGAAGAGGUGCGAAGCAUGGACGUGCGGGGUGUCAUGCUGAGGUGCUGAUGUUGGGGGCAAGCGAGCUUGUGGCGCACUAGUUGACCGAACAGAGCUCUCUCCGCAUCCCACGAAAAUAGUGGGGCUGUAACGACCCACCAGCCCACUAGCAAUGAUAACUCGUUGGGCCCAACCACCAGCCCAAAAUACUUAAGCCCAGUUAUUAUUACUAGUAUCUAAGUCUCUUAUAUACCCAAUCACAUCCCCAUUCAUAUCCGAUGUGGGAUUAUUAGGGUAUGACAGACUCCCCCCGUUAAGGCCCUGACGUCCUCGUCAGUCCAAUCACACACACAGCCUAAGAUCACAAAGCGAUGUGAGACUAAUCUUGCUAGCCUUGUCAUCUAGACCCUGGCAUAGCCGAUCACCUUGUCAUUCAGACUCCGGCAUAGCCUGUCACCUUGUCUUUCAGAUACUGGCUCAGCUGAGACUCGCCACACAUUUCCGGCUAGUGAACUGGCUCUGAUACUAAAUAUAACGACUCAGCCAACUAACAAUAACAACUCGUUGGGCCCAACCACCGGCCCAAAAUGCUUAAGUCCAGUUAUUAUUACUAGUAUCUAAGUCUCUUAUAUACUCAAUCACAUCCCCAUUCAUAUCCAAUGUGGGAUUAUUGGGGUGUGACAGGCGCCUAUACAACAGACAUGAAAUUGGAACUCUUACUGUGCUGUAGGGCCUACCUCCUCUCUCUCUCUCCCCUUUUCUCCUUUCCUUGUUUGCUCUAUCUCAUCACUCUUUCCAUCAAUCUCUCUCCACCUACCCCUUUUUCCAUAAGCCUCUCAACCUCUUCCCCUCCCUCAUUAUCACCUUCGCUCCCAUCACCGUCGUGUCCACAAAAGCAGCUGCUCUUGCCACAUCUUCGCUGGUCCAACCCGUCGCAGUCACAUCUUAUUGCAGGAGUGUGAAAGCCGCUUAAACCCUCAUCGCCAUGGCUCUCCACUUCUCUCCUCGCUCCUCUCUUUUCCCUCCCCGU
rnacentral:lncRNA from 1 species